CGCUGACAGAAUGCUUUACCACAUGCAAGUCAACUUUGAACUUCGGUUUGGGUGGCGGACGGGUGAGUAACGCGUAAAGAACUUGCCUCACAGUUAGGGACAACAUUUGGAAACGAAUGCUAAUACCUGAUAUUAUGAUUUUAGGACAUCCUAGAAUUAUGAAAGCUAUAUGCGCUGUGAGAGAGCUUUGCGUCCCAUUAGCUAGUUGGAGAGGUAACGGCUCACCAAGGCGAUGAUGGGUAGCCGGCCUGAGAGGGUGAUCGGCCACAAGGGGACUGAGACACGGCCCUUACUCCUACGGGAGGCAGCAGUGGGGAAUAUUGGACAAUGGACCAAGAGUCUGAUCCAGCAAUUCUGUGUGCACGAUGAAGUUUUUCGGAAUGUAAAGUGCUUUCAGUUGGGAAGAAAAAAAUGACGGUACCAACAGAAGAAGGACGGCU
rnacentral:rRNA from 1 species